UCUUAGCUUGCUAAGGCCGAUGGCGACCGGCGCACGGGUGAGUAACACGUAUCCAACCUGCCGUCUACUCUUGGACAGCCUUCUGAAAGGAAGAUUAAUACAAGAUGGCAUCAUGAGUCCACAUGUUCACAUGAUUAAAGGUAUUCCGGUAGACGAUGGGGAUGCGUUCCAUUAGAUAGUAGGCGGGGUAACGGCCCACCUAGUCUUCGAUGGAUAGGGGUUCUGAGAGGAAGGUCCCCCACAUUGGAACUGAGACACGGUCCAAACUCCUACGGGAGGCAGCAGUGAGGAAUAUUGGUCAAUGGGCGAGAGCCUGAACCAGCCAAGUAGCGUGAAGGAUGACUGCCCUAUGGGUUGUAAACUUCUUUUAUAAAGGAAUAAAGUCGGGUAUGUAUACCCGUUUGCAUGUACUUUAUGAAUAAGGAUCGGCUAACUCCGUGCCAGCAGCCGCGGUAAUACGGAGGAUCCGAGCGUUAUCCGGAUUUAUUGGGUUUAAAGGGAGCGUAGAUGGAUGUUUAAGUCAGUUGUGAAAGUUUGCGGCUCAACCGUAAAAUUGCAGUUGAUACUGGAUAUCUUGAGUGCAGUUGAGGCAGGCGGAAUUCGUGGUGUAGCGGUGAAAUGCUUAGAUAUCACGAAGAACUCCGAUUGCGAAGGCAGCCUGCUAAGCUGCAACUG
rnacentral:rRNA from 1 species